AAGCGUGGGGAGCAANCAGGAUUAGAUACCCUGGUAGUCCACGCCCUAAACGAUGUCAACUAGCUGUUGGGGCCUUCGGGCCUUGGUAGCGCAGCUAACGCGUGAAGUUGNCCGCCUGGGGAGUACGGUCGCAAGAUUAAAACUCAAAGGAAUUGACGGGGACCCGCACAAGCGGUGGAUGAUGUGGAUUAAUUCGAUGCAACGCGAAAAACCUUACCUACCCUUGACAUGUCUGGAAUUCUGAAGAGAUUUGGAAGUGCUCGCAAGAGAACCGGAACACAGGUGCUGCAUGGCUGUCGUCAGCUCGUGUCGUGAGAUGUUGGGUUAAGUCCCGCAACGAGCGCAACCNUUGUCAUUAGUUGCUACGAAAGGGCACUCUAAUGAGACUGCCGGUGACAAACCGGAGGAAGGUGGGGAUGACGUCAAGUCCUCAUGGCCCUUAUGGGUAGGGCUUCACACGUCAUACAAUGGUCGGGACAGAGGGUCGCCAACCCGCGAGGGGGAGCCAAUCCCAGAAACCCGAUCGUAGUCCGGAUCGCAGUCUGCAACUCGACUGCGUGAAGUCGGAAUCGCUAGUAAUCGCGGAUCAGCAUGUCGCGGUGAAUACGUUCCCGGGUCUUGUACACACCGCCCGUCACACCAUGGGAGUGGGUUUUNCCAGAAGUAGUUAGCCUAACCCGUAAGGGGGGCGAUUACCCACGGUAGGAUUCAUGA
rnacentral:rRNA from 1 species